UCUCAACCCAAUUGAACACUUAUGGGAGAUUCUGAAGCGGCGCCUGAGACAGCAUUUUACACCACCGUCAACAAUACACCAAAUUAUAUUUAUUGUGGAAGAAUGGUGUAGCAUCCCUCCAAUAGAGUUCCAGACACUUAUAGAAUCUAUUCCAAUAUGCAUUUAAACUGUUCUGGCUMGUGGUGGCCMAACGCCCUAAUAAGAAACUUUAUGUUGGUGUUUCCUUUAUUUUGGCAGUUACCUGCACAUCAAUUUGAAUUUAUUAAUUUAUGAUUGUCUGCAGAAUGAGAAGUCCUCAACUUUCACCAGCUAUGUCUUAAUCUCAACAGCCUGGGUGAAUUACUUCAUAGCUUGGGAACCAAAGGAAUUUUGUGGAAUUUCAAAAAUGACUGUUCCGAGAGAACGGGUCUGGAUACCAGAUAUAGGUAUCCAAGAAGACAUCUCUGAUACAAGUAGUACCAUAUUGAGCCCAUAUGUCCAGGUGCAU